CACAGUGUGAGCUCCCAGAUUCAGUGGCUGCGCUGCUCAGCUGGCUGAGAGCAAAAUGAAAAUUAGUGGCUGCUGUCAGGACAUGGGAAAAAGCAGGAUUUUCUGUGUCCUCCAGGACUGAUGGAGGAAUUACAGUUUAGAUAAAAAAUUACGAUAAACCUUUGUUUAAAACAUGGAAUACAAUUUUGCAAGGUUAAGUCAGUUUUCCAAUAUUUAAGCACAAGCAUGUUCAUUGCUAGUUGUCAAAAUUCAAUUGCAUUAAAUUUAAAAAAGAAUGUUUUCUGAGUGAAAUCAGAGAAUAUUCAUUAUAAUCUUGUUUUUCACUUUUCAUAAAUUCUAAACAGAUGGACUGCACUUGAAUUAUUUCCGGAGUCUGACUGAUGUCCUUUACUGUCUGAUCUCCCAUAAAGAAACUAAAAUUAUAACACACAAUGUGAAUUUAUUCAAUACAUUUUUUAGAGAAUGAUAAGCCAUAUUCAGCCUGCAUGUAUUCACCAGUUAUACUUACAAAAUCAUACAUUACAAAGCCAAAAAUAGUAAUAUUGACUUUCAAAUGCUUGACUGGGGAAAACAGCAGUGAAUAGAGCACGUGUCCCAGCUCUCUACAGACCCACUGCUGUUCACACAUCGGAGCUCCUCUAACUGUGUGUGACAGGAUUUGUAUAGAGGAAGGGGCUUUGCAUACCUGUCCUGCCUCACUGCUCCACACACUUUAAGACCCCCAGUACAGAUCAGUGACUGUCCAGUCCUUUCACAGACACUGACACAGGCAGCAUUAUGAUGAUGUCAAACUUUCUACUGCUGGUGAUGCUGGGACUCCUUAUACAGGAAUCAAUGGCAGAUAUAAUUCUGACUCAGUCUCCAUCAGCUCAGUCUGUUCAGCUGGGAGACAUUGUUUCUAUCAGCUGUACAACCAGUCAGAGUGUGGGCAGCUGGCUCAGCUGGUACCAGCAGAAACCUGGUCAGGCUCCUAAACUUCUGAUUUAUGCUGCCACAAAUCGCCAGUCUGGGAUUCCUGAUCGUUUCAGUGGGAGUGGAUCUGGGACUCAGUUUACACUGAAAAUCGCUGGAGUCCAGGCUGAAGAUGCAGGAGAUUAUUACUGUCAGCAGUACAACAGCUACCCGCUCACACAGUGAUACAGAGCUGUACAAAAACCUCCCUCAGUCAGACUGCACAGAGACUGCACUGCUGCAGCUGGGACCUACUGCAGGUGCUGAGCGGGGAGGCACUGUUCUGGAAUACCAGUAUUUACAACAGGGCUGUAGGGGGCGACAAUGAGCCACAGUCCUGAAUACACACCCCUCUGUACUGAAGAGGAGCUGCUCUGUGUCACACAGAACCUAUAACAGAGCUGCUGCUGAACCACACACAUUUCUGUAAGACUACAUCACCGGGAACACAGAGUAUCAUUUCACAAGCAGCAAUGAUCACCUGGGUGUACUGAGUCCACCCAAAAGCAGAGUAUGUGUACUUUCUCCUAGAGGAGGAAGGAGUGGGAUUUCAAAUGAACUGCUGUCUGAAGGGUAUUUUGAGUUGAAUACAUACAUCAGAGUUUAUGUAAUUAAAGGUGUUUCUGUUCAGAUGGUAUCCUGGUGACAUCUCAGCCACGAUGCACUGAAUCGCAGAAUUUAUUAUUUUCUGCGACAGUAUUUCUUUGAUUGGCACGAUCAUCAUAUUAUUUUAAGUUUCAAAUUUUGUUAUUAGUUAUUCAAUUUAACCACAACGUAGCAUGAUACAGCAUGGACAGAAUUCCAUAACAAGCUCCCAUAUUAUUAAAUUAUAUCAUUUUAAACUCAAAAGAUAUCAAUGCAUUCAUUUUGAACCGAUAUCCCUUGAGCUUAAUGCAUUCAAUUGCACAGGCAUCCUUUAUAUUUCAGGCAUGGGGUCAGUACAGGGUUAGUAUUAUCAAAACCUGUUUGUGUUUGCUGAAUAAAUGCAACAUUGUGUAUCUGUAAAUUUGAAGGAUGGAAUAUAUGAAAGUGAGAAAACCCCUCAGAUACCCGUCAAGUGUCAAGGUCACCAACUGUAAGAGACCCCUCUGAUGCACCAAACAGCAGAAGUAUCUGAGUGGAGAAGAAAUGGGUGCACUCUUACCUGGUGCUACAUGGAACAGGACUAAUUUAAUAUUAUUUCAAUUAUUUGACUCCAAAAUAAUGUUUUAACCUGUAACCUAACAAUUAUGGGGACCUAUUUUUCUCCAUUCGAGAAGUGCAACAUAUACAAUUAAAUUUUUCAGUCCAUGAAAUCACAAGGAAACAUUUAAAUGACUAAAACAUUCAUUGAAGCCACUGAAAAUUUUAAAAUGGAGAAAAUACUAUUUUUUGGACAAUCUUUGGAGAAUGUGAAAUACAAAUAGAAAUUGUAAUCAUCAAA